UUCCUACGGGGGGCAGCAGUGAGGAAUAUUGGUCAAUGGCCGGAAGGCUGAACCAGCCAAGCCGCGUGAGGGAGGAAGGCGCAGAGCGUCGCAGACCUCUUUUGCCGGGGGACAAAAGGCCGGACUCGUCCGGUCCUGAGGGUACCCGGAGAAAAAGCAUCGGCUAACUCCGUGCCAGCAGCCGCGGUAAUACGGAGGAUCCGAGCGUUAUCCGGAUUUAUUGGGUUUAAAGGGAGCGUAGGUGGAUUGUUAAGUCAGUUGUGAAAGUUUGCGGCUCAACCGUAAAAUUGCAGUUGAAACUGGCA
rnacentral:rRNA from 1 species